rnacentral:rRNA from 1 species
UACGGAGGAUGCGAGCGUUAUCCGGAUUUAUUGGGUUUAAAGGGUGCGUAGGCGGCCUGCCAAGUCAGCGGUAAAAUUGCGGGGCUCAACCCCGUACAGCCGUUGAAUCUGCCGGGCUCGAGUGGGCGAGAAGUAUGCGGAAUGCGUGGUGUAGCGGUGAAAUGCAUAGAUAUCACGCAGAACCCCGAUUGCGAAGGCAGCAUACCGGCGCCCGACUGACGCUGAGGCACGAAAGUGCGGGGAUCAAACAGG